CAACCGGAUUUUUUCGAAUCCCCCACUCUUAGAAAUAAAAUAAAUA
rfam:Daphnia magna strain Xinb3 scaffold00868, whole genome shotgun sequence.